CGCUGCUGUGAUAAUAAAAUAGAGAAAAGUGGAAACUUCACAGGUCGCUCAACACGACAAAAACGAAAAUGUUGCAGGCUCGGUUAGAUUGAGCCUGUUCAUGGACGGUAGUGGAAAUGCAUGCUAGCGUCCACGCCCUCUAGCCCCGGGUUGAGCAGAAUUCAACAUUUACACAUGUUAAAAGUA
rnacentral:lncRNA from 1 species